rnacentral:lncRNA from 1 species
GCCGCCCUUGGCCGGGUUUGGGUAAUUUGGGAUUUGGGAUUUGGGAUUUGGGGGGGCGGGUCUGGCCGGGAGGAGGAGGAGGAGGAGGAGGAGGAGGAGGAGGAGGAGGAGGAGGUGACAGCGAUGCUGGUGGCGCUGGUGGCGCUGGUGGCGGUGGCGGCGGGGGGGGACACGGGGGUCCCGCCGACCCCCCCCCCGUGCCCGUUGGGGUUCGGGCCGGUGGCCGCGGGCGGCUGCGGGGACAGGGACGAAUGUCGCACGGCCGCCGUGUGCCACCACAUGUGCCUCAACCACCACGGCGGCUUCGCGUGUCACUGUCACCGCGGCUUCGUCCUGCAGCCCGACGGUGUCACCUGCCGCCGCCGCCGCCACCGGGGGCACCCCGGAACCCCCCCCCAGCGCCCCGGGGGACAGCGGGGACACCCCGGGACCCCCCCCCAGCGCCCCGGGACCCCUCCCCAGCGCCCCGGGACCCCUCCCCAGGCGGCACACCCGGAGCUGCCCGGGGGGACCGGGCGCGGUUGGAGCUCCCGGUGGGACCGGCGGCCGGACGGGACCGGCGGAGGUGAAGCCUCGGCCCGGGAUUCGGUACCGGAGCGGCACCGGAGCGGCUCGCGGGAGGAUUUGGACCGGGAUCCCCGCCCGGAUUCGGAUCCAGGCUCGGUUUGGGAUCCUCAGAGGAAUUUGGGUCCGGGAAGGCACCGGGAGCAGCGGCCAGGGCGGCACCGGGAUUGGGACCGGGAUUCGGACCGGGAUUGGGACCGGGAUCGCCGCCGGGAUGUGAACCGGGACUGGGACCGGGAUCUGAACCGGGAUUCGGACCGGGAUUGGGACCGGGAUCCCCGCCAGGAUGUGAACCGGGACUGGGACCGGGAUCUGAACUGGGAUUCGGACCGGGAUUGGGACCGGGAUUCGGACCGGGAUCCCCACCAGGAUCUGAACCGGGACUGGGACCGGGAUUCGGACCGGGAUUUGAACCGGGACUGGGACCGGGAUUCGGACCGGGAUUUGAACCGGGAUUUGAACCGGGACUGGGACCGGGAUUCGGACCGGGAUUCCCAGGAGGAUUCGCCCCCGGGAUGGCACCGGGGCUUGCACCGGGAUGUGCCUGAGGAUUCCCACCGGGACGUGCCCCCGGAGCGGCCCCGGGGCUCGCCCGGGGAUUGGAACCGGGAUCCCCACCGGGAUUCCCAUCAGGAUUUCCGUGAGGACUCCCAGCCCGCCGGGCAGCGGGGUUGGCACCGGGAUUUGCACCGGGAUUCGCACCGGGACCGGGAUCCGGGCUCGGCCCGGCCCCGGGAGCCGCACGGGGAUUCCCGGGAGGGUUUGCACCGGGAUUGGAACGGGAAUUCGCACCGGGACUCGCACAGGGAGCGGGGGCUGGGACCGCCCCGGCUCCGGGGGUGGCACCGGGGGUGGCACCGGGACUCCCCCGAGGGGUCCCACCGGGAUUUUCACCGGGAUUUUCCCCCUUCCCCCGCGCCCCCCUAUAGGAACGAGGACCCCGAUCCUUAUGGGGACCCCUAUGGGGACCCCGACACCUACGGGGACCCCUAUGGGGGUCCAGCCCCCCCCUAUAGGGCCGAGGACCCCGGGGAGGGGCCGUGGGACCCCGAAACGGAGCCCUGGGACCCCGACAUUUAUGGGGACCCCUACGGGGACCCCUACGAGGAUGAGGACCCCGAAGAGGAGCCCUGGGACCCCUCCCCACCCCCCUCGGACCCCUACAGGGACCCCGAGCCCGGGAGCCUCCGGAGGGGCCGGGACCCCCAAACCCGGCCCUGGGACCCCUAUGGGGACCCCCAAACACGGCCCUGGGACCCCCAGAGUGAUCCCGGGGACCCCCAAACCCGGCCCUGGGACCCCUAUGGGGACCCCUAUGGGGAUGGCGACCCCCAGAGUGAUCCCGGGGACCCCCUAACCCGGCCCUGGGACCCCUAUGGGGAUGGCGACCCCCAGAGUGAGCCCGGGGACCCCCAAACCCGGCCCUGGGACCCCUAUGGGGACCCCUACAGUGAUGAGGACCCCCAAGAUGACCCCAUAGGAGACCCCCAUAGGGCCCCCGACCCCAAGGCCGAACUCUGGGACCCCCCGAGGGACCCCCAUGGACUCAGCCCCUCCCCCAGCCCCCAUGGGAACCCCCAAACCUCCUCCUUCACCCCCCUGGCUUCCCCCCCAGUUGCCCCUCCGGAAUCCCAGUUGCCCCCAGUUACCCCAGUAACUGCCCCCUCCAACCCCAGAGCCCCCCAGUUUGUCCCAGUUACCCUCCCAGUUACCCCUCCCAGAACCCAGGACCUCCCAGUUGCCCCCCAGUUUGUCCCAGUUACCCCUCCCAGAACCCAGGACCUCCCAGUUGCCCCCCAAGUUGUCCCAGUUACCCCCCCCAAAGCCAAGGACACCCCAGUUUCCCUCCCAGUUCUCCCAGUUACUCCCCCAGUUACCCUCCCCAGAGUCAAGGACCCCCCAACAACCCCCCCAACUGCCCCCCCUAAAUCCCUGUUACCCCCAGUUACCUCCCCUAAAUCCCAGUUACCCCCAGUUACCCCUCCAGUUACCCCCCCACAGGCCAAGGACCCCCCAGUUAUCCCAGUUACCCCCCCAGCUCCCCCCCCCAGAGUCGGGGACCCCCCAGUUGCCCCAGUGACCCCCCCAGUGACCCCCCCAGUAGCCCCCCCAGUUGCCCCAGUUGCCCCCAGGGCCCCUCCCAGUACCGGGUCGCUGCGGGUCGGGCUGGGCUUGGCGCUGCCGGUGGCACUGGGAGGGGCACUGGUGAUACUGGGAGCACUGGGAGGACUGGGAAGACCCCCCCGACCGACCCCCCCGAGCCCCCAGGGCUGAGGGUGCUGCGGUGGGGGGGCAAACUGGGAGGGACCCCCCAAACUGGGAAAGGAACCCCCAAACUGGGAUUUUUAACCCCAAACUGGGAAUUUUAACCCCAAACUGGGAUCGUUCACCCCAAACUGGGAAUUUUAACCCCAAACUGGGAAUUUUAACCCCAAACUGGGACUGCCCCCCCUCCCCCAGUCCCGCCCUGCCCCCCGGGUGGGGGAGGGGCCGGGGGGGGGCUGAGGGCAAUAAAGGGUCGGUGCUGCCCCUCCCCCACCCCGCGCUGAGUCCCGUUGUUUUUUUGGGGGGGGAGAGGGGCGGGCAGGGCCGGCUCCCCUCCCCCUCCCCCUGCCCGUGCCCCUCCCCCUCCCGCUCCAGCUGUUGAGCGGAUCCAGCUGUGGGUGGGGGAGGGCGCGGCCCCUGAG